rnacentral:lncRNA from 1 species
UUUUAGUUUUUAAAUACAGAAGUAUUAAUUUAUUUUGUAAAUGUGAAAUUAACAUUAAAUGCAGUUCAUUUCAUUUUUUAUUUUUAUUUUUACAUGUCCCUGAUACUGAUGCUUUGAUCAUAAAACUGACACAUUAUCACCAUUUCCACAACAACUUUGAUGUUUACUGGAAUUCCCUUAACACUUCCAAGGAUAUAUCAAACAGCAAUGUCUACAAAUCUGCAGGGAAAUACAGCCAACACAGAGGGUGUCACACACAACACUGGAUAAUGGCAAGAUCAUUUCAAUCGAAAAUCCAUUUUCAUGUGCUCAUCGUAUGAGCUGAUUACACCUGCUAUUUACUAAAAUGUUUAUAGGUUGCGGUUACCUAAUGUUCAAUUAGAUUAACAAAAUGGCACAAUCAUACAGUGAAACACUCAUGAAAGCUGGCAUGAAACAAAUAGUGGGAAAGGGGGCUAUAGUGAAGGAUUUUCAGACACUGGUGCACGAGUAGGCUAGGUAACAUUCAGAAAAGUUUAUUUGGCUGUAAAACCCCUUUUUUAAUCUGUCCUUAUCCAGUGAUCCAAUAAAGCUAGACAUGAAGGUUAAACAAGUAACAUGAGGCCCAAAUACAGACCGUCUCCAAAAAACAUCAAAAAAAAUCAAGGCACUUGGGAGAUAAUCAUCUGGUUCUGGAUUAUUUUAAGAGAGUAAGGGUACACUCUGCCAAUUGCUCCAUUUAAGUCUCGGGGCAAAAUUGCUGUCCGGUAAGCAAUUUAGUAAACACAGAAAAACCUUUACUCUGCAAAGACUAUCCAGCUCUUGGAUUGUGGUUUUAAAGGUUUUUCAAAUUAGACACAAAUUGAGAAAGGCCCUAAAGCAGGUUUCCCCAAACUCCGGCCCCUCCAGAUGUUGCUGAACUACAACUCCCAUGAUUCUCAGCCUAUUUCAUUCAGAGAAUCAUGGGAGUUGUAGCAAAAUCUGGAGGGCCGGAGUUUGAGGAAGCCUGCCCUAAAGAACAAGUUAUUCUUUUAGUGAAAAUUCAAUCAAAAUUAGAUUGGAUUUAAUUUCCCAUUAUCUCAGGAGUACUAUGUGCUGCAACCAAGAUUAGCAAUAGCUCCCCUAUCCUCCAAUUACCAUGAUGCAUGUGCAAUAGUCUAACAGGCCUUUGUGUUACGACAAAAACUAACUAGGUUCUAGUGGGGAGAAAGACAUAUGCUCUACAAGUAUUUGCUUCACUGAUUAGAAAGAAAGAUCAAACUUACAACAAUAUAAGCACUAUAACCACUAUAAAGUUUUUGUGUAGAAAUCAGUUUUUGUCAGACUAUUUUCAAGUGGCAACCAAACCUAGUCCGUGGUCUGCCAAUGUCAAAGUUUCACUUUAUCUGCCCAACCAUGAAUGGCAGUGAUAGGCUGAAAGCAUUUGUGUGGAACAGCACAGCGAUGGCAACUUAUCAUUGCUAUCUAAGGUUGCAUGCAACUGGAUGGUUAAGUUAUAGCGGUUAGGGUGUUUAAAGAGUACCAUUAAAACUGCAAUUCUACAAACAAAGCAGAUUAAGUAGUAUACAGUGCAAACACCAUUCUUCUAUCGUAUGCUAUCACAGUAGGGUAAAACCUGCAGCCAGGUUCUCAAGUAAAAAAGUCACAUCAGUAACCAAUCAUUCUGGGAGUAGACCAUCAUUUGCAGACAUGCACUAAAAGUCAAUCUUGUGUAUUUCUGUAUUUAAAAAUGGUUAAUUAUUGAAAAAGUAUACUGCUAACAGUGUACCUAUCAUGAUAUACACAACAUGGGCUACAAUUAAAGAGCAUGACGUUUCAUCUACACAAUAUGCUAGCAUAAAUACUUGGAAAUGUAUAGAUAUUAAUUUAAUACCCAGGAAAGAUUUGGCCUUCUUCCACUUGAAAAUCAGACUUCAAUUUAUGUCAGUGGCAUGCAGGAGGUUUUUCUCACGCAUAAGGAUAAUAUAAUUUUGGAUGCACAGACACCAAAGUUCUGACAGUGAAGUCAGUAUGUCAUGAUAAGCUUGGGGACGUGUCUCAAACAGGCACAUUCACAGCAGAGAGGAGAAAGGAAAUAGACAGUGGAUGUUACAACACAAUAGUUAUAACAUCCAAACACACAACAAAAAUGGUGGCACUGGUGUAAGGGGCAGCAGGUGACUACUAAUGUAAUGAUACAUUUAAAGGCUUUCAAGUGGUUAUGUGUUAAAAAUAACCUAUCAAGCCAGGUUCACUUUAAAAAACAAACAAAUGAUACUGUCACCACAAUUUACUAAGACUAACUAUAAAUGUCUAUAUGUAUAAUUAUAUUAAGGCAUUAUGAAUUACCGAUUGUACUGCCCAGAAAAUUGAAUGCAAAAUAGUCUUUAUUUACUACACGAGAGUAAGAACUAAGUUACGAGAAUUAGAAAUAAUUCAACAGAGAGAAUCCAGAGACUUGAGAUGGAAAAUGAUUUUUCUUAUGAUAAAUAUAAAAUACAAAAUAAUAAAUAUAUGUAUAUAUAAAUGAUUUUUAAGACUAGUUUAAAAAAAAAAAAAAAAUAUAGUAAAUUAGGUUACUUUUGAUCAAUUAACAACUCUAUCCUCCAAGACACCUCUCUGUUACAAAAUGGUUGCUACAGCACUUCCUUCCUCUGACUCUGGUCACACGAAUUUGCAUUUAGUGCAAUGACCUUAACUGGUCACAUCUGAUGGUGAUAUGUGUUCAUGAUGGGCUGUAAGAACAUCCAACAGUGUAAUUCAUGAAUAUUUUAGCAAAUAAAAUGUAAAAUUUCCAUCUGUUAGCAGUUUGUAGUUUAGUGCUAUUUUUUUUUUUUUAGAAAAUUACAUGAUUCAAAUCUACAAAUAACGCAUUAAAACAACUACUUUACUGACCUUUAAAAACCUUCUAAAAUUCUACACAGACUAGAACAUUAUUGUGAUACACCUGUGCAUCAGAAAUAGAAAAAUAAAAUUGCAGUGGAAAAUCCCUCCAAAUAUAUCAAAAUGUUGUAUUUACAAAAGAAAAACGGGGUUGUUAUUUCAAAAAGCCUUCCAGACAUCUACUUCCUAACUCAAGGACACAUUAGAAAUGUGAAAAUAUCAAACACAAUAAUAGAACACAAUUGGCUAGUGAUAAGUUAUACAAUUCCUUGCAUAUUUGCAUUACUUUGUUGAAUUGCUCAAACAUUAACAGGAGAGAAAAAAUAAAUAAAUUUUAAAGCUGGUUCUAAAAUCAAAGUAUUUUUCUCUAGAAAGCAAAGAGAAUUAAAGCCUAUGGUUUGUUCUGUCCCUGUUUUUAUAAAAGCUGCAGUAAAAAUGAACACCUAUGUAAAGUGUAAAAGGAGAAGAGACAUAAAACAAAGUGUUCAUGCCAUUCUAAUAUGUUACUGAGUACUUUUAGUGGUUGGCAUUCUACUAUGGCUAUUUGUUCUUUGCCAUAAUUACUGGGCAACAGUGGAGAGAAGUAAAUCAUAACACAGUUGCCACUUCGUAUUUCUCUCCCAGUGAACAAUUCUAUCUUACAUGUUAUAUAAACCAAGUAAAUAUUUAUAAAGUUAUCUCAGUAAAUUCUACACAGAGCCAUUACAAAUGGUAUUAAAGCUACACACCAAAUACCUGAAUAUUUAAAUGAGUUUUUAAAUAAGCAGUUGUGAUCUUUGCCAUUUCUAGUACUUGUGGCGCCCUCUUGUGUUGGCUGUUGUAAGUGAACAAGACGAUAGUCAGUUGGGCUGUUUUAUAAAUAGCCCAUCCAUAUUCCUGUAAUAGUGUGUGUGUGUGUAUGUAUAUAAUCGUAGGCCCAGGUUUAUUUUAAAUAUUACUUAGACAAUGAGUGAUUUCAUCAAAACAUUUGACAAAGAAGCAGUGCAUGCAGUCUUACACACAUAAAGGACAAUAUUCUGUCGCAAACAGCAAACAUCUUAAAAUAGGUUAUAUACACAAGGCACUCAGGAGUUAGUUUACCAUUAGAUUUUUACAGGCCUUUUAAAUUCCCUGAGGCUGAAUUAAUGUAUUGUUAAAAAAAAAAAAAGAGCAAUAAUUUAACAGCCCAAGUGCUAGCAAAUGAUUCUACAUAAAAUCAUAAUUAUCUGUGAAAUGGGUGAUCAUUUAGGACAAAAAGGAAACUUCAGAGGAAUAUGAUACAUUAUUGAACUGUAUGGUGCAUAGACAAAAGCAAAGGCUCAUUGAUUAUAGUUAGCCACAUUUAAUUAACAUUAAGAAUUCACAACUCUCCAGUGUAUAAAGAACACGUAUUUUAUGAAAUAAAAUAAAAAAACAGGCUGCCACAAAGGUUUUAAUUUGGCAUUCUGUCCCUUACAUGUCUAGAUAUCGGCAACAGAAAGCAGUGUGUUGCGUUUGCUAGUGCAGAAGGCUACUGAGCAUCUGAUUGUCCUUAAUUCAUACUUUCCCCGGGAAGAAGUCAAAAUGCUCAGGUAUAAAAAGGCAAUAAAUAAGGCAUACAGGAUUCUGAGCAUUCGCACAGUCAUAAUCUGCCCUAUCUAUAAAUGCCCAGUGUUGUGUGUUGGCAACACAUGUAUUAUAGUUAUUUGUGGUUAAUCAUUUACAGUCUUCACCAGUAGCAUUUCAAGUUUAAACUUUAUGCUUGUUGUCUGGGAUGGACCAGAAUUUAAAUGGACAAAAGUUCAGAGACCUCCGGUGAGAAAGUGUAUAUCACAGUCAUUUGCAACCAUUUUUGGCAGUGGCCAGUUCUUCUGACCAUAUGUCAUAAAUGAGAGUUCAGUUAACACCACAGGAAAUGAAUGAGCUUUUCUUUGGUUGUUGGAGAAAUGACAUUCUAGGUUAUGUGAAAGGAAGAUCUUCACUGUCUGCAGGACCUGUGAUUUAGUGCAAUGAAAUGUGUAACAGACGGCAAACCCCUUUCGCGGUUACUUUCAGUUCAGUUAUGUUUGGACACCACACAAGAUCAAUGCACUGAGCGUCUUCAAUCUGUUUCUUUUUAACAAGUAAAAUGAGCAGAGGGGUUAUGAGUGAUACUGAGCAGAUGUAGCAGGUCACCUUGUAAUGAGAUAGGGCUCAUUUCUAAUGUAGCAUAUUCAGAGGUGUUGGGUGAUAUAAACACACACAUACCAAAAAAAAAAAAAAAUCUAAAUUUGGGAUGCUAAAACUCCUGAAUUCAAAGGUUGUACACACAGUUCUGGAUACGUCUGCUUAAAGAGACAGUUAAAAUGGCACUCAUGGCUAGAAUUGACUCACUUGUAAUGCAAUACAACCAAUUCAAAUAAUAAAAGACAUACCAAAACAAACAAACAACAAAAAAAAAAAACAUUUGAAGUAGCGGCUUUUACAAUAAAUUCACAGGCUUUGCAUUUUAUGCAAUUAGCACUGCUCAAAAAAGGAAGCGAUCAAUCAAUCAGGAUGGGUCUUUUCAAUGUGCUGAAUUUAUCCCACAAAUACCUGCACAGCAGAGAUUUAUGGGAAGUGAAGGGUUGUGAGCUACAACUACCAGAAAAUGGAAGAUUAGGAGGAAAGGGAGCUGGGAUAUCAUACACCUCAAUACUGUAACCAGCAAGAAAGAUUUAUUUCAUAAUUAAGUAGGUCAGACAGAGGAGGCGAGAUUAAAUGAACAUGCCACAUCCUUGUUGAAGUGCUUUAAGUGUGAAAAACAUAUCUUCUCUUUGUCACUUUAUAAAAGAGUAAAUGGUAAGAGAAAUUAUCAUUUUUAUAAAGCGUCUGGAUUGCACCUUCCCAACUUUCAAUCAGACAGCCAUGAUAAUGCUCUUCCAGAUUGCACUGUGCCCUAUCACAAAGCGGAAGGAAGUGCCUCUCCUAGGGAAGCACAGAUUCCAUGUGCACUCUUUGAGAAGCAUUCUAGUGGUCAGGAGUUUAUAACAUGUAAAGACCCCCUGGUGAGCAAAGCAGUGUUGUCAUGUGCUGGAUUGCAGGCAAUUGCUUUAUUUCAGGGAAAACUGGAGACUCACUCUAAAUCAGUAGUACAACACUCCAGCAUUAUAUAUAAAUUUAUGUUUAACACUCGAAUGUUUUUUUUUUUAUAUGCAUAUUAUUGCAAAAUAUUGUUUUUGCUAAAACAAUACAAAAAUUUAUCAUGGCAAAAAAUCCAGCCAAUUAUUUAGUCCAAAAGCAACACAAUGUACAAAAAUGUUCCUUUAAUUUGAGUUAUGUAGGUUGAUUAAUCGAUUUUAAUUGGGGAUACCCAGACAUACAUACAUCCUACAAGAUCAAAAUAUACACCCGCGAACCUUUAAGACAUCCACACAGAAAUAUAUGUGAUUUCUCCGAAUUCUAAAAGCAAGAUUGAGGUAUCAGAGGGAGGUUGAAAAUUAUGGAGAACGGAUAAGGAAAUUGAAAAUAAUUUUGGUGCAAAAUAGCUAACCUGGAAUAAUUCACCAAUUUUCCAUCUCAACUAUUAUUGCCUAAAAUGUACAAUUCCAGUGUCAAUAUUUCAUAAUUUCCAGUGUAGUGAUGAAACUCCGAACAGUAACAUAUACGGUUAAUGUGUCCUAGAAAUAUGAAGUGACUGAAAGCUUUUUAAAGCACAGAGUUUGAGGGCAAUAGGGAGGCGGGGGCCAGUACAUCAAAUAUUAGCAGAUCUGCUUUAAGAAAAAUUCUUUGGUAUAAAAAAUUAUUGUAUUUGAAAUCUCCACUGCAAAAUAGCAAAACAAUUGUAACACAAAACAAAUUGAAAAUAACUUUACUAUAUUAUAAGAGUCAUUGGGGUAUGGCUGUUUCCUUAUCAUACUGCACUGUCUUCUAGUAAAGAAACAUAUGGCCUAACUUUGAAUUAAUUUUGUAUUUCCAGCAAUUCACACUUAAGUGAAUAACCCCAAUUCAAUAAACGGCGAAUUGUAGUGAAUCGAAAACUGAGCUGCAGAAUUUAGGCUAAAAUAAUGAAGCUGUGACUAUACAGGAGUUGAACAUUUUUGGGGUAAAUUUUGCACUGCAGUUGUCCAACACACUACAAUUUGGGAUUGAGUGAAAAAAGCCUGCAUUAAAUAUUAAUUACAGGUCUGUGUUGAAAGGCAUAUGAAGCCAUUCAGGAGAAGAACAUGUGCGUUUCGCAACAUAUAUUUUAAGUACAUAUCUACAUAAACUAUUGUGUAUGUCUGUACAGAAUUAGAUCAAUUUAUAUUAAAUGCAUAUGCAGAUUAUAGUGACUGCAUAGUUUGUCAAUCAAACACCAUUCAAAGUGACAGGUUAUUUGUAUAUAUUUGCAUACAAACACCCCACAUAUGGAAAAAAAGCUAGUAUUAAUAUUUUUAAGACACACAUGGCUGAAACAAUUAAACAAAGGUAGAAUAAGACACACAGGGACACAAUACUGAGUCUUUGGGGUCUGUGACUAAGUAUCAUUAGACCAUGAGUUUUUUCCCCAACCACACGUUCAGGAGUUUUCAAGGUGACUACAUUAGCAGAUUAUUUUGGGAUACCUAUAAAAAUAAAAAGGCAAGAGCUAUAUUUUAACUUUCACAGACCUGAAGUAUGCAUUUAUCAUAGGUGUCCCCAAAUCAAAUCACGAUUUGGCAUCCCUACACUUAUAAAUGCAGGAACUUUAUGAGCAGACCUGAUUUCAAUGAUUCUUAGACUUUUACAUAAUUUAUCAAAGGACAAGUGCAGCCCUAAAUAAAAUCUGAACCAUAUUUUCAGACUAGGCAAUAUAUGGCUAGAUUAAAAAAAA